UACAGAGGUCUCAAGCGUGUUCGGAUUCAUUGGGCGUAAAGCGUGUGUAGGCGGAUCGGUAAGUACCUUGUGAAAUCCCACAGCUUAACUGUGGAACUGCUCGGUAUACUGCCAGUCUUGAGCCAGCUAGGGCUACCGGAACAAAUGGUGGAGCGGUGAAAUGCGUAGAUAUCGUAAGGAAGACCAGUGGCGGAAGGCGGGUCUCUGGACAGUUCCUGACGUGAGGCACGAAGCCAGGGGAGCAAACGGG
rnacentral:rRNA from 1 species